rnacentral:rRNA from 1 species
CAGCAGCCACGGUAAUACGGAGGGUGCAAGCGUUGUCCGGAUUUAUUGGGUUUAAAGGGUGCGCAGGCGGGGGGGUCAGUCCGCGGUGAAAGACGAUCGCUCAACGAUUGCAGUGCCGUGGAUACUGCCCUUCUUGAAUCUGGUUGAGGCCGGUGGAAUUGACCGUGUAGCGGUGAAAUGCAUAGAUAUGGUCAAGAACUCCAAUUGCGAAGGCAGCCGGCUGGGCCAGCAUUGACGCUCAGGCACGAGAGUGCGGGGAUCAAACAGGAUUAGAUACCCCCGUAGUCCCUGUCUCUUAUAC